GUAAAAUUCCAUUCAAUCGACUUAAACGUACGUCAAUUUACGAAAAAUCUGUUCAAGCUACAGUGAAAAAUCCUGAUCAAAAAAAAUAUACAAAAAACAAAAUCCGUUGAGUGUAAAGAAACUGAAGUAUUUAAUUACAAAUAAUUUACAACCACAACACAAUAAGUACGCAUUAC